AUGUUUCAAUGACUAUCCUUCAGCCAUUGUACAAUAUUUUGUUCCCUCAUCAUCACUUCUUUCUGUUUGCAGACUGGCUUCCCUCAAAUAAUUCUUGAUAAUUCCAUCUACUGCAAUCUGGUUUUGUAACUCCCUUGUACUUCUUGUAACCUGCUCAAUCCACGUAACUAUAUACUUCUCCAUUCCAACAUCGAAGUUUGCCUCUUAGAAGUUUUGAGUUUCGAACCACAACCUCAAGCAAGUACCCAAACACGUAGCAUGUCAAAGCCUUCAGAAUGAAUCCCAUGAAGGAAUUAUGUGUAGCCACAGAGAAUAUUAGCCAGCAGACAGCAGACAGAUUGCAUUAGCCAGCAGACAAAUUACAUCAUUCCAGCAAACAUAUUGCAUUAUUCAAGCAGCCCAGAUUGCACCAGUCAAGUUCCACAGCACUUUUAUUAAUAUUUCCUUGUGUAGCAGUAUCUCUGUUCUAUAUAUAUAUAAUGUAAUCCUC
rnacentral:lncRNA from 1 species